GGAAUAUUGGUCAAUGGGCGGAAGCCUGAACCAGCCAAGUCGCGUGAGGGAAGACGGUCCUAUGGAUUGUAAACCUCUUUUGCAGGGGAGCAAGGCGCCUUACGAGUAAGGCGUUGGAGAGUACCCUGAGAAAAAGCAUCGGCUAACUCCGUGCCAGCAGCCGCGGUAAUACGGAGGAUGCGAGCGUUAUCCGGAUUUAUUGGGUUUAAAGGGUGCGUAGGCGGGCUGGUAAGUCAGCGGUAAAAAUGCGGUGCUCAACGCCGUAGUGCCGUUGAAACUGCCGGUCUUGAGUGAGCGAGAAGUAUGCGGAAUGCGUGGUGUAGCGGUGAAAUGCAUAGAUAUCACGCAGAACUCCGAUUGCGAAGGCAGCAUACCGGCGCUCAACUGACGCUGAGGCACGAAAGCGUGGGGAUCGAAC
rnacentral:rRNA from 1 species